CCCAGAUGGAAGGUGAGAGGAAGUGAUGGUGGAGUCACACCCACAGGGCCACACCCAGAGGGAAGGUGAGAGGAAGUGAAGAUGGAGUCACACCCACGGGCCACACCAAGAUGGAAGGUGAGAGGAAGUGAUGACGGAGUCACACCCACGGGCCACACCCAGAUGGAAGGUGAGAGGAAGUGAUGGUGGAGUCACACCCACAGGGCCACACCCAGAGGGAAGGUGAGAGGAAGUGAUGGUGGAGUCACACCCACGGGCCACACCCAGAGGGAAGGUGAGAGGAAGUGAUGACGGAGUCACACCCACGGGCCACACCCAGAUGGAAGGUGAGAGGAAGUGAUGGUGGAGUCACACCCACAGGGCCACACCCAGAGGGAAGGUGAGAGGAAGUGAUGGUGGAGUCACACCCACGGGCCACACCCAGAUGGAAGGUGAGAGGAAGUGAUGACAGAGUCACACCCAUGAGCCACACCCAGAUGGAAGGGGAGAGGAAGUGACAAUGAGCCACACCCACGGGCCACACCCAGACAGGGCCUUCAGAGGUCUCAACAGGCUGACAGCAUCACAACCAACCAACACAGCAGAGAAGUCGCCCACUGUGGGGACUGCUGGGAGGAGCCAGGACACAGACCCAGCAGAGCUGGACAUCAACCGACGGGAAGGAGCCACAAGCCUGGGAUGAGGCUGUGUGGCUAUAGUGCCCCACGAGCCAUUUUCCCCCCAACCCCAUGCCCUCACCCCCGGCUCUGGACCAACCUCCUCCUCUAGGUCUGGCAUUUUAGGGUAUUGUUUCUAUCACGUUCUGAGAACAACAACGAGAUCCUCGGGGGCCCUGACAAGGAUCAGCAACAGCAAGUCCAGGCAAAACAUCCAGCAGCCAGCACUUGGCUGGCUCCCUUCAGGUGGGAUAGCAGAGGAAGACGCGUCCAGCAGCCCUCAUGACCAAGGCUGAGACGUCUGGGAGUAGAGUUCUUCCACAUGUCUUUGUCAGGAGAAGCCGUGUUUAUCUGCUUUACUGCCGGACCAGCCCUGCCCGCAUCACCACAGCCCUUUUAUGGUGAAUGUCCCUGUGAAACACCCCAACCUGAGUGAGGAAUGCGGAGGGCCCUGCCAAUCUGCCCGGCGCCGGACAUCCAGGACAGUUUCAUUUCCCUCCAAAGUUAACUGUUGGAGACUGGAUUUCCUCUUUCCACAUCUGUAACUUGACUCUAAAUCUUCCUAAAACUCCUUCCCAGUGGCACACAGCCUUCUAGUUGUCCACAGAGGAGCACUCUGCCUAGAAACUUAACAGCAGGAAAAGUCAUGUGAGCACAACAGCAGCCUCCCAGUAAAGCCCCUCAGACUCUCGGAACACAGACAAGGCGGCUGGACCAGUCAUGCCACCUCCAGAUACCAAGGAAACAGUCUUCACAGGGUAAUCUGGCGUCAUAACACUUUCUGAGCUUAUUUUUAAUCUUUUUUUGAGGUACAGUCUCAGUCCGUCACCCAUACUGGGGAGAAGUGGCAUCAUCACAGCUCACUGCAGCCUCCAACGCCUAGGCUCAAACAACCCUCCCGCCACAGCUUCCCAAAGUGGUUGGACUACCACUGUGAGCCACCAGGCCUGGCCUGAGUUUAAUGUUUUUUCCAGUGUCAAUCAAACCCGAGACACAGAAUCGGCAGGCGACCUGACCAUGCACAGCAGGGCCCUCCACCUCCCUCUGCCCACUGCAGACACUCACCACUCUCAAGUGUCUGCCAACAUCCAGUAAGAGCAGGGGUCCCGGCUCAGCACUUGUAGCUCAGUGGGUAGGACACCGGCCACAUACACCGAGGCUGGCAGGUUCAAACCUGGCCUGGGCCAGCUAAACAAUAAUUACAAUUGCAACAACAACAAAAAUAGCCGGGCGUUGUGGCAGGUGCCUCUAGUCCCAGCUACUUGGGAGGCUGAGGCAAGAGAAUCGCUUAAACCCUAGAGUUUGAGGUUGUUGUGAGGUAUGAUGCCACGGCACUCUACUCAAGGUGACACAGGGGCUUCUGCAACCCUGCUACAGGGGCACCACUGAGCAGAGAGGAGGAUGGAGGGUGACUGAGCCUCAUGAUUUGCAGGACAGAACGGAGUCGCCCACCUCUGGGCCACUCCAGCCUCAUAGGGACGUGAGAUUGGGAGUGGGACAGAAAGAGACCACAUACAAGAGAAAUGACUAGAUCUUUCACAGCCAAUAAGCUAAGCAAACUGUACGCAAGAUCAAGACAAAUAAAUCCAAAUGUGGGCACGUCAUGGUCAAGCCAAGGGGAUGAGAAAGUCAGAGAAAAAAAAGCUCAUCACAUACAAGGGAUGGUGACCCAACAGCUGACCUCCCAGCAGAAACUGCAGACACCGGAAUACAUACAUGACAUUUUUAUUUUAUUAUUAUUUUAAUUAUUAUUUUUUGAGACAAGAGUUUCAUUUUGUCUCCCCGGGUAAAGUGCUGUGGCAUCAUAGCUCACAGAAACCUGAAACUCCUGGGCUCAAGCAAUUCUCUUGCCUCAGCCUCCUGAGUAGCUGGGACUACAGGUGCCCGCCACAACACCAGGCUAUUUUUAGAUAUCGGGUCUCAUUCUUGCUCAGGCUGGUCUUGAACCUGUGAGUUCAGCAAUGCACCUGCCUCGUCCUCCCAGAGUGCUGGGAUUACAGGCAUGAGCCACCAUGCCUGGCCAUAAAUGACAUUUUUAAAGGGCUGAAAGGAAAAAUCCUAUCAACCCAGAAUUUCAUAUGCUGUGGAAAUAGCCCUUUUAAAAAAGAUGAAAUAAGGGCAUUUUUCAGAAAAAUCAUUGCCAGCUGACUUGUGCUACAAGAAAUGCUAAAAUGUUAAAAGCAGCUCAGGGCCCAUAGUACAGUAGUUACAGCACUGGCCACAUACACCAAGGCUGGCAGGUUCGAACCCGGCCCAGGCCAGCUAAACAAUAAUGACAACCGCAACCAAAAAAUAGCCGGGCCUUGUGGCAGGUACCUGUAGUCCCAGCUGCUUGGGAGGCUGAGACAAGAGAAUCACUUAAGCCCAAGAGUUUGAGGUAGCUGUGAGCUGUGACACCACAGCACUCUACCGAGGAGUGACAUAGUGAGACUCUGUCUCAAAAAAAAAAAAAGAAAGAAAAAGAAAUGCUAAAAGCUAGAGGGAAAUGAUUCCAGCUGAAAACCUGGAUCUAGAGGAAAGAAAUGAUGAACAACUGGGAAAAUAUGAAACACUUGUGUAUCUCUUCUUGUUAAUUUACAUACAAGUUAAAUAAGGAAAAAAUGAUAACACCACAGCAUAAGGUGGGGUUUAUAACAUAUUUAGAAGUAAAAUAUAUGACAACGAAACCACAAAGUUGGCUGCCAUAACCAGAAUGGCAUACUCAGGGGUUUCACAUCUGCUAAGGAGGGGAAUCACAUACUUUGGCAUUUAUUCUGAUCACUCGGUAGAUUCAGCACAACCCAAAACAAAGUCCCUUCAGGCAUUUUAUAGAAAUGAAUGAGCUGAUUGCAAAGUUUAUAAGGAAAUGCAGCCAAAACAAUUUUGAAUAAGAACAAGGAAGACUGACCACCUAUUUCCAAGACUUAAUUAAGCUGCGGUGUGGAGCCCAUGGGGGACCUGCAGAGCCAUGGUGUCCACAGAGGUCAAGGUCCAGACACAGAACCACAGACAUGGUCUGUGGGUUUCUGACAAAGGCCUCAGGAUCCCUGACAAGGGAAGAUGGUCUCUCCAACAAAUAACGUUGGAAGCACCGGAUCUUCACAUGCAACACAGCAACACUGACCCCUCCCCUCACACCAGACAUCCACAGCAUUUCAAAAUUGAUCAGAGGCAUAAACAUAAAAGCUAAAACCAUAAAGUCUCUAGAAAUAAAUGUAGAAGAAAAAUCUCUACAAUCUCAGGGCAGGCAAAGAUUUCUUAGGCAGGAUCCAAAAGCAUGAAAAAUGAGUACAUUCUACUUCACUAAAAUUCACAGGUGUUUUUCUCUUCAGAAGGCACAGUUAAGAAAAUGAAAAGGCAAGCCAUACUCUGGGAAAUAAUACAUGCAAAGCACAUACACAGCAAAGGACUUUUGUGCAGACUGUAUAAAGAACUUUGCACACAAGAGGACAGACCACCUGAAACGCAGGCUAGCCAUGGAUGACACUUUCCAAAAGAAGAUGCUCAGAUGUUAAAGGGGCACAUGGGCAAGUGCUCAGCAGAGAAAUGCCAAGGGCUCCACCUGCAGCAGGCAGCCUCUGAGAUGGCCCCAUGACCCUGAGUAAUCCCUCCCGGUGUGGCCUGGGCCUAGUGACUCCCUUCCAAUGAGCUGAAUAUACUGGAUGUGAUGGGCAGUCCCUCCCAAGAUGAGGUUAUGAAAGACCAUCCUCCCGGCACACCCACACUCUCCUUGCAGCCGGCUGUGCCAUGAGCUGCCCUGUGGACAGGCCCACGUAU